rnacentral:rRNA from 1 species
UUCCUGGGUAAAGCUAAUCUUCCCAGGGUUAGUCGGGGCCUAAGGCGAGGACGAAAGUCGUAGUCGAUGGAUAACAGGUUGAUAUUCCUGUACUACACAUAAUCAGAACUGUGGGGACGCAGGAGGAUAGGGAAACCGGGGAAUGGAAAGACCCGGUCAAGCGUAAAGCUGUGGGAGAUAGGCAAAUCCGUCUCCUGUAAGUGAAACGUGAUGAGGACUGAAAAAAAGUAAGGAAGUUUCCGAAUCCACACUGCCGAGAAAAGCCGCUAUUGCGUUAUGUGUACCCGUACCGUAAACCGACACAGGUAGAUGAGGAGAAAAUCCACAGGCCGACGGGAGAAGUGUUGUUAAGGAACUCGGCAAAAUGACCCCGUAACUUCGGGAUAAGGGGAGCCUCGCAAGAGGCCGCAGAAAAGAGGCACAAGCAACUGUUUAGCAAAAACAUAGGUCUAUGCGAAACCGUAAGGUGAAGUAUAUGGGCUGACGCCUGCCCGGUGCUGGAAGGUUAAAAGGAGAGGUCAGCGCAAGCGAAGCUUUGAAUUCAAGCCCCAGUAAACGGCGGCCGUAACUAUAACGGUCCUAAGGUAGCGAAAUUCCUUGUCAGGUAAGUUCUGACCCGCACGAAAGGCGUAAUGAUUUGUGCACUGUCUCGACAACACGCCCGGUGAAAUUGAAGAACCAGUGAAGAUACUGGUUACCCGCAACAGGACGGAAAGACCCCAUGGAGCUUUACUGCAGCCUGAUACUGGGAUUCGAUGAUAUAUGUACAGGAUAGGUGGGAGGCUAAGAAGCGAGAACGCUAGUUUUCGUGGAGCCGCCGGUGGGAUACCACUCUUAUGUCAUUGAAUUUCUAACCUGCAUCCGUAAUCCGGGUGAGGGACAAUGUCAGGCGGGCAGUUUGACUGGGGCGGUCGCCUCCUAAAAGGUAACGGAGGCGCUCGAAGGUCACCUCAGAAUGAUUGGAAACCAUUCAAAGAGUGUAAAGGCAAAAGGUGGCUUGACUGCGAGAGCGACGGCUCGAGCAGGUACGAAAGUAGGACUUAGUGAUCCGGUGGUAAUAAGUGGGAAUGCCAUCGCUCAACGGAUAAAAGCUACCCUGGGGAUAACAGGCUUAUCUCCCCCAAGAGUUCACAUCGACGGGGAGGUUUGGCACCUCGAUGUCGGCUCAUCGCAUCCUGGGGCUGAAGUAGGUCCCAAGGGUUGGGCUGUUCGCCCAUUAAAGCGGUACGCGAGCUGGGUUCAGAACGUCGUGAGACAGUUCGGUCCCUAUCCGUUGUGGGCGCAGGAAAUUUGAGAGGAGCUGUCCUUAGUACGAGAGGACCGGGAUGGACGUACCUCUGGUGUACCGGUUGCAGACCAACUGCACAGCCGGGUAGCUAUGUAUGGAACGGAUAAACGCUGAAGGCAUCUAAGCGUGAAGCCGCCCUCAAGAUAAGAUUUCCCAUUCUUCGGAAGUAAGAUCCCUUAAAGAUAAUGAGGUUGAUAGGUUGGAGGUGUAAGCAUGGUAACAUGUUCAGCUGACCAAUACUAAUAGAUCGAGGGCUUGACCA